GCGUAGGAAUGUACUCUACAGUGGGGAAUAGCCCGGGGAAACCCGGAUAAAUACCGCAUACGUCUUCGGAUGAAAGGUGGCCUCUAUUUAUAAGCUAUCGCUGUAGAAUCAGCCUGCGUAAGAUUAGCUAGUUGGUGGGGUAAAAGCCUACCAAGGCAACGAUCUUUAGCUGGUUUGAGAGGAUGAUCAGCCACACUGGGACUGAGACACGGCCCAGACUCCUACGGGAGGCAGCAGUGGGGAAUAUUGGGCAAUGGGCGAAAGCCUGACCCAGCCAUGCCGCGUGUGUGAAGAAGGCUC
rnacentral:rRNA from 1 species